GUGGGGAAUCUUGCGCAAUGGGCGAAAGCCUGACGCAGCCAUGCCGCGUGAAUGAUGAAGGUCUUAGGAUUGUAAAAUUCUUUCACCGGGGACGAUAAUGACGGUACCCGGAGAAGAAGCUCCGGCUAACUUCGUGCCAGCAGCCGCGGUAAUACGAAGGGGGCUAGCGUUGCUCGGAAUUACUGGGCGUAAAGGGCGCGUAGGCGGACAGCUUAGUCAGAGGUGAAAGCCCAGGGCUCAACCUUGGAAUUGCCUUUGAUACUGGCUAUCUUGAGUAUGGAAGAGGUAUGUGGAACUCCGAGUGUAGAGGUGAAAUUCGUAGAUAUUCGGAAGAACACCAGUGGCGAAGGCGACAUACUGGUCCAUUACUGACGCUGAGGCUCGAAAGCGUGGGGAGCAAACAGGAUUAGAUACCCGGGUAGUCC
rnacentral:rRNA from 1 species